GUAGSUGGCAAGCGUUGUCCGGAUUUACUGGGCGUAAAGAGCGCGCAGGCGGUCGAUUUAGUCGUGUGUGAAAGCCCCCGGCUCAACUGGGGAGGGUCACGCGAUACUGAUCGACUCGAAGGCAGGAGAGGGUAGUGGAAUUCCCGGUGUAGUGGUGAAAUGCGUAGAUAUCGGGAGGAACACCAGUGGCGAAGGCGACUACCUGGCCUGUUCUUGACGCUGAGGCGCGAAAGCUAGGGGAGCAAACGGGAUUAGAUACCCCGGUAGUCCUAGCCGUAAACGAUGGACACUAGGUGUUGGUGGUAUCAACCCCGCCAGUGCCGAAGCUAACGCAUUAAGUGUCCCGCCUGGGGAGUACGGCCGCAAGGCUA
rnacentral:rRNA from 1 species